rnacentral:rRNA from 1 species
CCUACGGGCGGCAGCAGUGGGGAAUAUUGCACAAUGGGGGGAACCCUGAUGCAGCAAUGCCGCGUGAAGGAUGAAGGUUUUCGGAUUGUAAACUUCUUUUGUACGGGACGAAGAAAGUGACGGUACCGUAAGAAUAAGCCACGGCUAACUACGUGCCAGCAGCCGCGGUAAUACGUAGGUGGCAAGCGUUAUCCGGAUUUACUGGGGGUAAAGGGCGAGUAGGCGGGAUUGCAAGUCAGCGGUGAAAACUAUGGGCUCAACCGGUAGAGUGCAUGUGAACAUGGAGUUCUGGAGUGAUGGAGAGGCAGGCGGAAUUCCCGGUGUAGCGGUGGAAUGCGUAGAUAUCGGGAGGAAAACCAGUGGCGAAGGCGGCCAGCUGGACAUUAACUGACGCUGAGGAGCGAAAGCGUGGGGAGCAAACAGGAUUAGAUACCCUAGUAGUC